AGUGAACGCUGGCGGUAGGCCUAACACAUGCAAGUCGAACGGCAGCACAGAGGAGCUUGCUCCUUGGGUGGCGAGUGGCGGACGGGUGAGGAAUACAUCGGGAUCUACUCUGUCGUGGGGGAUAACGUAGGGAAACUUACGCUAAUACCGCAUACGACCUACGGGUGAAAGCAGGGGAUCUUCGGACCUUGCGCGAUUGAAUGAGCCGAUGUCGGAUUAGCUAGUUGGCGGGGUAAAGGCCCACCAAGGCGACGAUCCGUAGCUGGUCUGAGAGGAUGAUCAGCCACACUGGAACUGAGACACGGUCCAGACUCCUACGGGAGGCAGCAGUGGGGAAUAUUGGACAAUGGGCGCAAGCCUGAUCCAGCCAUACCGCGUGGGUGAAGAAGGCCUUCGGGUUGUAAAGCCCUUUUGUUGGGAAAGAAAUCCAGCUGGCUAAUAC
rnacentral:rRNA from 1 species